GUACUUGCUUUGGCAGCACAUACACUGAAAAAUUGGAACAAUACAAAGAAGAUUAGCAUGGCCCUUGUGCAAGGAUGACACACAAAUUCGUGAAGCAUUCCAUGUUUUA
ensembl:snRNA U6 U6 spliceosomal RNA